UGAUAGGAGCAGCCGCUCUUGUGGUGAUGCUGAUUUUAGCUGGGUCGGGAACGGGUACCUGAGCGGGAGAGCCAAUGUAGCUGCUCCUAGAGACAAACCUUGAGUCGGAAAGCUCGGUGAUCCCCGUUAAUACAUGGAAAUACGUGGAAAACAAUGCGCAGCAGAUGGCAUCAUCUUUUAUUGCACAUAACACCUUUUAUGCUCCCUUGAUUAUCAAAGGACAUUAUUUGGUUAUCAAAGCAUCAUCAAAGGAUACCUACCACUAGUCCCCCCAGAAAAGGCGAAGCUGAUACUUCAGAAGACUGAGCAGCACAAAGCUUCAAUCAAAUUGGAAAAAAUUAUCAUUCUGCAACAACCUCAUAUGAAGCGUCAACAGGUACUCAGUGGAAGUACUGUCAGAAUCUCUGUAACUAUGGCCCCAAAACACAGAUUCUUAGUGUUAUUUAACUAUCUUGUUGGAAACAACAUUAGUUAACUCUGAGCUACCUUUAAGGAGCUUGGCUUUAAGAACUGUUGCAGUUACCCUAAAACACAUAAGCUCCUGUGACAAGCAGAUUUUACAGCCCAGAGCUAUCCAUCUAGGCUCUCCCAGGAAAGGGGAAUGCUAGACACCUAUGCAAGAAACAUGUCAGAAAGC